UACGAAGGGGGCUAGCGUUGCUCGGAAUCACUGGGCGUAAAGCGCACGUAGGCGGAUUGUUAAGUCAGGGGUGAAAUCCUGGAGCUCAACUCCAGAACUGCCUUUGAUACUGGCAAUCUUGAGUCCGGAAGAGGUGAGUGGAACUCCUAGUGUAGAGGUGGAAUUCGUAGAUAUUAGGAAGAACACCAGUGGCGAAGGCGGCUCACUGGUCCGGUACUGACGCUGAGGUGCGAAAGCGUGGGGGAGCAAAC
rnacentral:rRNA from 1 species